rnacentral:tRNA from 1 species
GGGCAGGUGCCCGAGCGGCCAAAGGGGACGGUCUGUAAAACCGUUGGCGUAUGCCUACGCUGGUUCGAAUCCAGCCCUGCCCACCA